rnacentral:rRNA from 1 species
CUCGUAGGCGGUUCGAUAAGUCGGGUGUGAAACCUCCAGGCUCAACCUGAGACGCCACCCGAUACUGUUGUGACUAGAGUCCAGUAGGGGAGCGUGGAAUUCCUGGUGUAGCGGUGAAAUGCGCAGAUAUCAGGAGGAACACCAGCGGCGAAGGCGGCGCUCUGGGCUGGAACUGACGCUGAGGAGCGAAAGCGUGGGGAGCGAACA